GUCCAUUAAAGUACAUUGGGGAUGCAACUGCUGAUGUAAACACAAAGCAGGGAAUUGGUUGCUCAGUUGUAGAAAAUACAAAGGAGGAGCAGCAAUGGCAAGAAAUAAGACCAGAGACUAGCAGAGGCAACAAGGUCGGGAAUGGCUUUAAUUCAUUAUGCAUGCUGAAUUAACCUCUGGUCAUCAAGCCUGAAAUCUUACAUGAUUAGACCGUGAAGAAUCACAACGAACAUAGAGACAGUUUAAAUCCUAUCUGGAAGCAGCUUUGUUUCCAAAGUUUGUCGUUUAACCGUUUCCGUGUAGCUUCGACUGAAUGUUUUGACUCAUUGUCUUGCUGGAAAACAAAUCUUGUGCAUAGAAGAGUAUGCGAAAUUGCAAUUUCGUCACACUUUGCAGCAUUAAUUUCACCUUCUACCUUUACAAGCCUUCCAGAACUUGAUUCACGUCCUUGCAUCUUGAUGCUGCCACCACCAUGCUGAUUAGCAAACAGCAGUUUUGAAAUUGAGGUUUUUGCAAUUCCUUUGUAGAAGUCUGUUUUCACUUUAACCAGAAAGAGUUGUUUGCCGUAAAUUCUUGUCAAAAAAGCCACAUUUAGUAAAUCAUAAUUCAAUGUUGAAAACCAAUAAAAAGGAAAAACUUCCAAGAGGGUUUGAAUACUUUUUUUAUAGGCACUGUAUUUGUCACUAAUUUUACUAUGAACAAUGGGCUAACUCCCUCAAGAAAGUCUGCUGACAUACUGACUCACAGAUAACAUGCACAAUAGUGUGUCUAUCAGAGCCCUCACACACUUAGUGGAAAUGCGCCAAAAAGUCUGUGCAUAAUAAAUGACUCAGAUUGGAUCAAAAAACCCAAAUCAGGACAUCCUUGCUUUGUAUAAAUGUGCAACUUUCUGUAAACAAAGCUCCGCUCGCAGUGACACACAAUCAUUUGGCCUAGAAAGGAAAGGCUUUAAUGCUCUUUGUUUUGGUAAAAUAAUCGAACAGAUGGCUUUCAGAGCAGCAACAAGUAAUUUGUCUGAGAAGAAAAGCAGACAGGAGAUCAUUGCACAGAAACUAAAGCCUGCUGACCUGACUUUGGUUAUGAGCUGAAUGUUUGUUCUCCUCUUUGUGAGCCUCCUCAUAUGAUUCCUGCUCUCAGGUGACAGGUGAGCCGCUGAUUCGUCGCAGUGACGACAACGAGACAACGCUUCAUUCCCGUCUGGACGCCUACCACCGGCAGACCGCCCCUCUGGUCAAGUACUACAGUGCCAGAGGCAUCCACACAGCCAUCGACGCCGCCCAGAGUCCCAAUGUCGUCUUCGCCUCCAUCGUUGCUGCCUUCACUGCUGCAACGGAAGUCCCCGCUCGUGCCACCGCCUCUGGUUGAGUCCUGAGCUGCUCCAUUCCCACCGAGGCGACGGAUUGGAGCUCGUGGUGGGUGAACAAACGGAGGGCAGGGCUCGGACGCUAAGAGGGGGGAAUUCCUUCAUGAGUUAAUUUUGCGGUGCUGUUGGGCUCUUUUACUUUUCAGCACAUUUCUAUUCCCUGUAGAUUUUGACAGGAAUGAACAAAGCCAUCUUUUGUCCUCAUGUUUCCCCUUCUAAUAAACCGCUUGCUUUUCUACAGUCA